rnacentral:rRNA from 1 species
CGUCAAAUCAGCACGGCCCUUACGUCCGGGGCUACACACGUGCUACAAUGGCGCAUACAAAGAGAAGCGACCUCGCGAGAGCAAGCGGACCUCAUAAAGUGCGUCGUAGUCCGGAUUGGAGUCUGCAACUCGACUCCAUGAAGUCGGAAUCGCUAGUAAUCGUGGAUCAGAAUGCCACGGUGAAUACGUUCCCGGGCCUUGUACACACCGCCCGUCACACCAUGGGAGUGGGUUGCAAAAGAAGUAGGUAGCUUAACCUUCGGGAGGGCGCUUACCACUUUGUGAUUCAUGACUGGGGUGAA